GCCUGGGUGGCUCAGUCAGUUAAGCAUCUGCCUUUAGCGCAGUUGUGAUCCCAGAGUCCUGGGAUCGAGUCCCGACUUGGGCU
rnacentral:tRNA from 1 species